rnacentral:rRNA from 1 species
AUGCCUUACACAUGCAAGUCGAACGGUAACUGGUCUUCUGAUGCUGACGAGUGGCGAACGGGUGAGUAAUACAUCGGAACGUGCCCGAGAGUGGGGGAUAACGAAGCGAAAGCUUUGCUAAUACCGCAUACGAUCUCAGGAUGAAAGCAGGGGACCGCAAGGCCUUGCGCUCACGGAGCGGCCGAUGGCAGAUUAGGUAGUUGGUGGGAUAAAAGCUUACCAGGCCGACUAUCUGUACCUGGUCUGAGAGGACGACCAGCCACACUGGGACUGAGGCUCGGCCCAGACUCCUACGGGAGGCGGCAGUGGGGAAUUUUGGACAAUGGGCGCAAGCCUGAUCCAGCCAUGCCGCGUGCAGGAUGAAGGCCUUCGGGUUGUAAACUGCUUUUGUUCGGAAGGAAAAGACUCUUUUUAAUAAAGGGGGUCCAUGACGGUACCGUAAGAAUAAGCACCGGCUAACUACGUGCCAGCAGCCGCGGUAAUACGUAGGGGGCGAGCGUUAAUCGGAAUUACUGGGCGUAAAGCGUGCGCAGGCGGUGAUGUAAGUCAGAUGUGAAAUCCCCGGGCUCAACCUGGGAACUGCAUUUGAGACUGCAUCUCUGGAGUGCGGCAGAGGGGGAUGGAAUUCCGCGUGUAGCAGUGAAAUUCGUAGAUAUUCGGAGGAACACCGAUGGCGAAGGCAAUCCCCUGGGCCUGCACUGACGCUCAUGCACGAAAGCGUGGGGAGCAAACAGGAUUAGAUACCCUGGUAGUCCACGCCCUAAACGAUGUCAACUGGUUGUUGGGUCUUCACUGACUCAGUAACGAAGCUAACGCGUGAAGCUGUCCGCCUGGGGAGU